GAUGAACGCUAGCGGGAGGCCUAAUACAUGCAAGUCGAACGGUAAAUAGUAGCAAUACUAUGAGAGUGGCGUACGGGUGCGUAACGCGUACACAAUCUGCCCUGUACUGGGGGAUAGCCUUGGGAAACUGAGAUUAAUACCCCACUAACUUUGCGCUAUGGCAUCAUAGUGCAAUUAAAGCUCCGGCGGGUACAGGAUGAGUGUGCGUCCGAUUAGGUAGUUGGCGGGGAACGGCCCACCAAGCCGACGAUCGGUAGCUGGUCUGAGAGGACGGAUCAGCCACACGGGCACUGAGACACGGGCCCGACUCCUACGGGAGGCAGCAGUAGGGAAUAUUGCACAAUGGACGCAAGUCUGAUCCAGCCA
rnacentral:rRNA from 1 species